UAUUAGGGCAAAGAAAAGAAUUGAGGAAAUGUGUAACCUCUAUUUUUCAUGCCCUUCAUAACAACCACUGGCAUAAUGAUCCAUUUAUGUUUCCUUUUUUUACUCUGUACAGAUAUAGCAGGUAUUUUCUUUCUUAUGUAUCAUUUAACCAAAACAGACGAGCUGUUGACUGGCAUGAUUAGCCUGUGGAACUCAUUACCACAAAGAUGAUAUUGAGGCCAAGAAUUUAGUAGGAUUCAAGAAGGAAUUAAUCAUUUAUAAGUGGAAUGGUAACUGUGACGGGUUGGAUCACAGAAAACCCCUUGGGAACUGCCAACUGAUGUGCUGAGACUACACCUGAGCCUGUUUCCCCUGGCAGCUUGGGACUUCAGUGCCCUGCCUGGUUUGAGCUAGACACGCUAGCCUGCUACAAACACAGACCCAGGUCUGAACCACGUCUCCUAAAAGCUGCAGGCUUAACUGAAAACAGCUUAAGAAGUUUUCCUGUCUCUAACACUCAGAUGCCCAGCUCCCAAUGGAGUCCAAACUCCAAAUAAAUCCGUUUUACCCUGUAUAAAGCUUAUACAGGGUAAAUGCAUAAAUUGUUCACCCUCUAUAACACUGAUAGAGAGAUGUACACAGCUGUUUGCCCCCCUAGGUGUUAAUGCAUUCUCUGGGUUAAUUAAUAAGUAAUAAGUGAUUUUAUUAAAUACGAAGAGUGGGAUUUAAGUGGUUCCAAGUAAUAACAGACAGAGCAAAGUAAGUUACCAAACAAAAUAAAAUAAAACACGCAAGUCUAACCCUAAUACAGUAACACAAUGAUUACAGAUGAAAUCUUACCCUCAGAGAUGUUCCAAUAAGCUUCUUGCAGACUAGUCUCCUUCUAGUCUGGGUCCAGCAAUCACUCACACCCCCGUGGUUACUGUUCUUUGUUCCAGUUUCUUUCAGGUAUCCUUUGGGGCUGGAGAGGCUAUCUCUUGAGCCAGUUGAAAACAAAAUGGAGGGGUCUCCCGGGGUUUAAAUAGACUUUCUCUUGUGGGUGGACACCCCUCCCUCCCCCUGUGUAGAAUCCCAGCUACAAGAUGGAGUUUUGGAGUCACAUGGGCAAGUCACAUGUCCACGCAUGACUCAGAACUUACAGGUAGCAGCUAUGGUUCACAUACUACCUUGAACGUCCUCAAGUAGACUUCUUAUGUGGAUUGGAGUCUUCCAAGAUCCAUUGUCUGUUAAGUGUUUCUUGACUGAUCACUUAACUUGCACAUUCCUUUCUCAAGAAGCUGACCAAAUGUUUUACUAAGGCUACAUAAAAUCAAGCAAGUACACAGCCAAUAUUCAUAACUUAGAGUACAAAAAUGAUACAUGCAUACAAAUAGGAGGAAUAUAUUCAGUAGAUCAUAACCUUUGCAGAGAUAUGUUACAUGGCAUAUGUAGCAUAAUUAUGUCAUAUUUACUUUCAUAAGCAUAUUUCCAUAAAGCCUUAUGAGGCUCAACGUCACAGUAACAUCCACGGUAAUGUUAAAGAUGAUUAUAAAGGGAUAUAUACCUUCAUAUUUUAGUGCAUAAGCCAAUCACUAACUGAUGAGGUGAAGAAGAAACUUCCCCUCUGGAUUCGCUUUGAAUCAGGGAAGAAAGGAGGUGGUGAAUCAGGCCCUUCGCCGUUUCUUCUUUUGUUAUUUCCUGUGAUGGUGGAAAUAAUGUGACAAAUGUUGCCUGAUCUGGUGGUUGCAUAUUAAAUUACAUUGAUCGAUUAGAAAUCCCAAUGAACACCCUGUGGUUUGACACAAUCUCUCCUGAUGGAGAGAUCUCUUUAAUGGAUGAAACUUAACUGCUGUUUGUUGGGACUGUACAGUUGCUGUUUUCCAGAAAUGCACGUAGAUUGUCAGCAGGUAUGGGGCUUUGCAGAAAUGAUUUUCCAUAAAUAUAUGGCAUUUCUGGUCAGUGCUGUAUAUAAAUGAAAAGAACCUGAUCAACUAUACUAUAAUAAAAACACAUCUGGCACCAACUACAUUUAAACUUCUCUGCCACUGACUUGCCGUGUGGGCUUGGGAAAGUCAUUUAAGCUCUUUGCUUCCAUUGCUGUAUCUGGAAAAUGGGGAUAAUAAUACUGACUUAGCGCACAAGAAUUAGCUAACGUGUAAAGCACUUUGUAGAUAUUUAAAGCAGUGUGUAAGGUUAAAGGGUUUUUUUAUUAUUAACCAUAUUAUUUAAACUUGGUUGUAAGGUCUGUGUAGAUGUGGCUGUAUAACGGGAGGAAAAACAGGUGUCCAGAUGGGCAUGUACAGAGAUGACUCCUUUGGUGAAAUACUGAAGUGAGCUAACAAGGGUUUCUAAUGGAUCAGUGUGAAGCUGGAAAAUUCCAUUCCUUUACAAACUAUCUUUUCACCUGGAAAUCCAGAAAAGGCAGUUCUAUUUUAAGCCCUCUCUUCCUCCCCUUGUUAAAGGUGGUACUAAUCUCAUCAGCUUCCUUUUUCAUUCUCUUGCCUUAGUGCAGGGAGCUGGAGUUCAUGACUUCUUGAAGUCCCUUCCAGCCCUACAUUUCUAUGAUCCUACAACCCAUGAUAUUUAAAAAUUUGCAUGACCAAGCUGGGAGGGGUUGCUAACACUUGGAGGACAACAUUAGAAUUCAAAACAACCUUGACAAAUUGGAGACUUUGGGCAGAAAACAUUUCUUCAGCAUUUAUUUCUCUACUUAAAAUAGGACAUAAUUAGUUAACUACAUAUUUCAGACACCAUGCCAUAGUGACCAUUAAUAGAUGUUCAUUUUUUAAAUGGUGACCUCUACAUCUAUAUACUGUGUCAGUCUUUUUAAUACAGAAAUAUGAUAUUCAUAGCCAAAUCAAACAGGACUUACUCAGUCCAAACUCAGGUAAAUCUCCUAAGGAACAGUCCUACACUGGCCGGGAGAUGGUCUAGAUGAUUUCUUAGGACUUUUGCGAUCAUCUCCAUCUUCUAUGGCUCUAUGAUAAUGGGAGAUUUUCCCCAAGGAAUAACUGAACAAUGGCUGUAAGGUUUGGCCCCAUGAGAAUACAUUUAUCAGCAUGUAUUUUCAACGUGUUACGCCUCCCACCUCAGUACAAAUGUUUAAAAAAUGUGGAUGCACCACAGCAUCCAACCAGAAGAGGGAGCACUAUGUUAUGCUGGAGACAACCUGAGUGAGGUCACAGGAGACCAGAAAGCCAACGGGAAUGGAGGGACCAAUUUCCUUCUUUCUCCCCCUUUCUCUCUCUCUCAUUCUCAGCAGGUGCCAUUUGCUCUUCUGCAGAGGGCCAGCAUGAGCAAGCACCCUUAUGUCUUGUUGACCCUCACAGAGAUGUAAGUGGUGCAUAGGCUUUGUGCUGACCCACUGCUGUGGGAUGAAUCUUCUACUUUGUGAACUAGCCCGAAAUUAAAGGGCCUGAUCCUGGGAAACCCUAUAGUCCUUAUCCUUGUAAGCCACCCCAUUGAUUUAACUGAGGCUGCACUGCCGAGAAAGGGCUUCUCACUUGACUACCAGGUCCAGAGAAAGGAAAGGGGUUGCUGAGACAGCCUGUCAAUAUGUGGCAUUCUGCCACAAGUCAGAAAUAGGCUGUAGUGCAAACCUGGGCACGCUGUACAAAGAUCGUUCACCCCCAUUAUAGCCAAAGGCUGUCUUAUACUUGCAGGUGUUAAAUUGGGUGACGCUGAGCCACUUUGCCAUGUGAAUCAUAGAAUAUCAGGGUUGGAACGACCUCAGGAGGUCAUCUAGUCCAACCCCCUGAUCAAAGCAGGACCAAUCCCCAAUUUAUAUAAUAUAAUAUAGGCCCAAUCCUUCAAUCUUACUCAUAUGAGUAAUCCUUGUUCACAUGUGUUAUCCCACUGACUAGUUGUGUGAUUAAGGAUUAUUUACACAACAACAGUUGCAGGAACGUGCCUGGAAAUUAUUGAAUUGAAUUGGUCUGAUGUCUUCCUCCAAAUGCUGUGGGUAUAUCAGAGGUCUAGAUAAGAUAAGAACCUUCCUUUUCUCGACAUUCUCCUUCAGUGUAUUGGGCACUUUCCUUGUCGUAGUUCGAAGAGUUGGAGUUUACCCUUUUUAAGAACUGGAUAAACAUCUGGUGCACUUAUGUUGUCCUACACACCACUUACUAUAACUGGCACCACUGAAAGGACACUUGCUUCCAUUUCACAUCUGCGCAACAUCGUUACUGUACUUCUCAAUGCCAUAAAUAACAUCUUUGUGUGUAGGUUAAAGUGAUUAUAGUUAUUAUGUGGUAGGUUUAAGAAAAUGAUUCAUUCCGAUUCAUUCAUUGCCAAGUAGGUUUGCAAAAAUGUGAACAAAACCUAUUUUUAAAAGGGAAGUGAAUCCAUGCCGCAUUGAUAUUCUCCAGUGAGCUGGUUUUGGAGAGCAGUAGAAUAAAGGCAUUUGCUGAGAGGCAUCACUAUUAGGCCCGAAGGCAUAUACCGUAUGCUAUCCACCAACUAUGUUGAAUUAUCACAAAGUGUUUCCUACCGUUGAGGUAGAUUCUGGGCACCUUUAAAUCUGUAUUUUCUAGUCAUGAGUAAAUUGGUUCUGAGUGGUGGUAGUGGUGAAUCAGCCUUAGCCACCUUCUAAAGCACAAACCAAACUGACUCUGAAGCUUAAAAAGGUUGGAUGACUUUUUUAUUAUAAUGCAUCUUUGCUCUUCUUCCUGGAUCUGCCUCUGGGAGCAGAGACCUUGUAAUGCUAUGGGAAAAGCUGUUCCCAUUAUCUUCGCAGCCAGAAAUCUCUCAAGACAAUUUAUUUUCAACUCUGUGUUGCAGAGUCAGGAGGAAGAUGCUUUGGAAAAGCAUUUGAAGUGUUAUGGCAUCAAACCUCAAAUUUUUUGAGAUUUGUCCAUCACUAGUAAAGACAGUUGAAAUUUUCAUUCAUUAUAAUCAUCUUAAAGAACCCUAGCUAAUGCUGCUCUGUAUCAAUAGUGAUAAUAGCAAAUCUUACAUUAAUUUGUCUAGUCUGAGUAACUCAGAUAUUGAUGGUUGUGUAAUUGUUAUGUUGGUGCAUAAAUAGGAUGUGACAUAAUUUGACAUCAUAGUAUUUGAAGCGCAGAUAUCAUAAAAUCAUGUUGCAGAGAAAAUAUCCAGUCUGUCUGAUCUGGGACUGUGCUUAGAAGGGAGUGACUUGCAGUAAUCUUGUGUACCCUAAGUGAGGUUUACAUUAAAGUCAUUGAGCUUUGAAAUCUCCCUUCACUAAGUUUUAAAAUGAACCAGCCAACUUUUAGUAGGAAAGAACAACUAUAAGAGACAGGGUCCUGUUGCAAAAUUCAGAUAGAGAUUCAGAACACCCCAAAGUUCAGGGGGUUUGGGGUUUGGGAUUUAGGCUUGAUCCAUUACUGUAUAAUCAUAGAGGUCACUUGCAAAAUUCAGUUCUAGAUGUGAAUUUAAAACACCCCAAAAGUUUGGGAUUGCUUGCAUCCAGGUGUUCAGUUUGGGCCCAUUUAAAUAUAGGGGCCAUUUGUGAAAUUCAGAGUCAGGUCAGAGUUUGUCUUUCUAACAUAAAUUAGGCAUGUCAGAUCCGGGGAUUUGGUUUAUGCCCAUCUCUAAGCACAUCAUGCAUUUUUCUCUGAAUUGGACUCUAUUCAUUACAGUAUGUGUGCCUCUACUUCCAGACAUCAAGGGUGCGAUUGUCCAAAGCUUUGGCCUAUCUCUGCUCCCACUGAAGUCAGUGGAGUCCAUCAUUGACUUCACUGGGAGCAGAGAGAGACCAAUACUGAGUGCUUUUGAAAAUCCCCCCCUAAACCUUGCAUACCCUAACCAUAAAACAUCUGGAAGACAGAAGCAUUCUGUAUCAGACAUCUGUAAUUUUUCAAUAAAAGUUACAGAGCUGGAUGGAUUCAGACCACUAUAAUUAUCCACUGAAAGCAAUUGCUAGAAUGUGGUUAGGAAGAGUGGCAUCUAGCCUAUAUAUAUAUAUAAAACAGUAACUUCUCCCAUCAGGUGCACUAUGCACAUUCAACAAAUCAGCACUUCUAUGGACCUGUGUGCCUUGUAAGAUAUUGAAAAAGCAAUGAGACAAGCUUAGAUCAGACUUGGGAAGGCCUUCCUUUGGGACAUAUCGGAGAGUGGGUGGGAACCGUGGACACAGGUAGUUACCUACCAGGUGGAGGAAAGAAGGGGACUACUAAUCAGACAAGUCUACAGCAAUGUGAUCAACAGCACAGCAAUGAAAUGGGUUCGUCCCAGAGUUCACACCAUGUUUGUCACCCAAAUGGUCAUGAUUUUGCACGUAUCUGUACUGGAAUUCAGCGGCAGGGAGACAGUGAGAAGACAAAGCUGAAAGUAAUUUUGACAGAUAUUAUUUGAGAAAUGGAAAACAUUCCCAGAGCAGUAAAAUGGAAAGGGUCACAUAUGAAUGAUGCAAGGUUCAAUUCUUUGAGGAUUAAAGCAAAGAACGAGCAAGGAUUGUGCCUAAAAAAGGACACUCUUCAUACACCAUGUGUGCUCCUUGUAUCUUUGCAUUGUGCUUGUGUGAUCUUUGCGCUGUUCCUAAUAUGGGUUGCAAAGCAGCCGCUGAAUUCUCUGUAUUUUAAAAUUAAAUGAAAUGUUUGGAUCACUCUUUCACACACAAUCACGCAUGCACAUACAGGUGGAUAAAAUCAAUUACCCAUUAACUUCUAAUCAAGAUAAAUAAGCCAUUUGUAUUCCUUGUUUCACUUGGGAUAUGUCUGCAGAGCAACUAGACCCCCCACGGCAGGCCAAUGCCAGCUGGCUUGGGCUGACAGGGCUCGAGCUGCAGGGCUGUUUCAUUGUUGUUUCGAUGUCUGGGCUCGAGCUGCAGCCCUGGCUCUAGGACCCUGCGAGGUGAGCAGGUUCCGGAGCCUGGGCUCCAGCCCGAGCCUGGAAGUCUACACAACAAUGAAGCAGCCCCAGCCCUGUGAACCUGAGUCAGCUGGCAUUGGCCUGCUGCGG